GUUUUGUGAUGAGUUCAACUAGCUCACUUUGAUGCAUAGCGUGAAAACCUUUGAACACCUGAAAGAC